rnacentral:rRNA from 1 species
CUACCCUUGACAUGCCACUAACGAAGCAGAGAUGCAUUAGGUGCUCGAAAGAGAAAGUGGACACAGGUGCUGCAUGGCUGUCGUCAGCUCGUGUCGUGAGAUGUUGGGUUAAGUCCCGCAACGAGCGCAACCCUUGUCUCUAGUUGCUACGAAAGGGCACUCUAGAGAGACUGCCGGUGACAAACCGGAGGAAGGUGGGGAUGACGUCAAGUCCUCAUGGCCCUUAUGGGUAGGGCUUCACACGUCAUACAAUGGUGCAUACAGAAGGUUACCAAGCCGCGAGGUGGAGCUAAUCCCAGAAAAUGCAUCGUAGUCCGGAUCGUAGUCUGCAACUCGACUACGUGAAGCUGGAAUCGCUAGUAAUCGCGGAUCAGCAUGCCGCGGUGAAUACGUUCCC